UUGGAGGGUGGUUAGUGGGUUUAGCUGGUGUGGGCUUCUUUUCAUCCGUGUGCUCUGGUUAAAUCCAGUGCCAUCGCGCUUCUUGUGAGUCCCACCGAGAGAAUGCGAAGGGGAGAGGCAGGACCAAAGUUGAGGCGAGUCCUGUGGCAUGCCGAUGGGUCUCCAGGUAUGUGACCUCAGAGGAGCUUGAAUGAGAAUAUAAUACCAAGAUAAGUCGACUUUCAGUUCAACUGAUUCUUUCCUGCAAGAUCCUUUGCCGCAAUGGGGGAAUUAAGAAGGGAAUAAGCUGGCAAGAAUGUGUCCAACAUUUCCAAGCAAGAUUGUUCUUUUUCCCUUUUUGUUUAUUUUAUCCAGACUCUAGCCAAAAAGAUUCAUCUCAAGGAAAUGCCAGACUUUUUCCGAAGUGGCUGUACCAUUUUGCAUUCCCACGAGCGAUGGGCGAGGGUUCCAGUUCCUCCACAUUCUCAUGGGUGUGAAGUGUCAUCAUUGUGGCGGUUGCCCUUUUUUAAGGACUCAAAAGUUUGUAAGAAACUUGCUAGAGGAUGCUCCUUGAGUGCAGACACAAUGUCUAAGGAAUUAUAUUCUUGGAGAUGUUGGAAGAAGAUUCCUGGGUCUUGGAAGAUAAUUACUAGAAAUAUGCAGGGGAGGAAUAAAAUUGAAGGGUGUUUUUCUUAGAGAACACCAUUUGUCAGAUUUAUCAGGAAUUUGAAGAUUUAUAUAAGGAACAGAAAGCCGCUGACGGUUGAAAUGGAGCAUUCACUUCUUUGGAUUGAGGACUGUAAUCCAAAACAAAUCCCAGUCAGUUUGGCAUUGAAGUUAGUUGCUGCGCUGAAGGAAAAUGGUAAUUACAAGGACAUCUAUUUACUGCCAGUAAAGGCUGGUUUCCUUGUUUCAGAAGUCAACAUGAAUUGAUUAAUGUUAAGCUGCCUGGUGAAGCUACAAGCUCAGAUAAGGAUGCUACUGUGAAAUUUGCACUCAAGAUUCCAAGAAUUACAGGCAGUCCUUGCUUUGCACAGUAGUGAGAGACUGUACGAUGCAAAAAACUGCAGGAUAUGGAUGGGAUGUAAAUGGAGUUAGAAGAUAAAGAUGACCUUGGGAAUGCUGACACUGGUGCCAUUCAAGAAAUAGUUCUAGAUACGCAGGAGGCAGAACGUAGUGAAGGCGAAUAUAAAGUUUUACGUGAGUAAAGCAGUUGUAAAGGAUGAACGUGUCUCAGAAGUCAUGCUGUUGAAAAACUUCACAUUGAAGGAACUUUCAGAGAUGUUUCAUGACAUUGACAGCACAAAGGAUAAAAUUUUGGAAGCUGAUUCAAACUUAGAAAGGAGUAUGACAGUUUGCCAAGGCAGAGAGAUAAGAUGCUCAUUCCGUGUUAUGUCAUAUAAUGUGAAGAAAGCAAGCACUUUUCAAACUACUUGAUACAUUUUUUUAUAAAGAAAUAAAACAUUAUAAUUUUCA